UACGUAGGGAGCAAGCGUUGUUCGGAUUUACUGGGCGUAAAGGGCGCGUAGGCGGCGCGGUAAGUCACUUGUGAAAUCUCUGAGCUUAACUCAGAACGGCCAAGUGAUACUGCAGUGCUAGAGUGCAGAAAGGGCAAUCGGAAUUCUUGGUGUAGCGGUGAAAUGCGUAGAUAUCAAGAGGAACACCUGAGGCGAAGGCGGGUUGCUAGGCUGACACUGACGCUGAGUGCGCGAAAGCCAGGGGAGCGAACGGG
rnacentral:rRNA from 1 species